AUGUCCAUCUGGCUCCAGGGACGGGAAGCCCGGCCAUCACAGUCCUGUCCACGGCAGCACUGCUCGGGAGUGACGGACACCAGUCACCUGUGGAGCUGUUGGUGCUGGCUCUGCGGGUCUCAGGCUACUCCCCGAUUCCCAGGCUGCUGUCCUCGGUCCACACCACGGGCAGCACACCAGGCUCACACUCCACGCCACCCUCUCCUCCAACAGGAUCUGAUUCCACCCCCGGCCUGGGCCCAACAGGUGCUCCUGUCCCUGCCCCAGGCCCUGGUCACGCUUAAUGCCUGCCUUGUGUGUGUAUCUGUGUGCAUGUCUGAGUGUGUGUGCGUGUCUGAGUGUGUGUAUCUGUGUGCACGUCUGUGUGCAUCUGUGUGCGUGUCUGAGUGUGCGUGCGUGUCUGAGUGUAUCUGUGUGUGCAUCUGAGUGUGUGUAGCUGUGUGCGUGUCUGAGUGUGUGUAUCUGUGCAUGUGUCUGAGUGUGUAUCUGUGCACGUGUCUGAGUGUGUAUCUGUGUGUGUGUGUCUGUGCGUGUGUAUCUGUGUGCAUCUGAGUGUGUGUAUCUGUGUGCGCAUCUGAGUAUGUCUGUGUGUGUGUCUGUGUGUAUCUGCACGUGUCUGAGUGUGUAUCUGUGCAUAUGUCUGAGUGUGUCUGUGUGUGUGUGUGCGUGUGUGUGUAUCUGUGCAUGUGUCUGUGUGUGUGUANUGUCUGUGUGUAUCUGCACGUGUCUGAGUGUGUAUCUGUGCAUAUGUCUGAGUGUGUCUGUGUGUGUGUGUGUGCGUGUGUGUGUAUCUGUGCAUGUGUCUGUGUGUAUCUGCAUAUGUCUGAGUGUCUGUGUGUGUGAGUGUGUGUAUAUGUGUGUGCGUGUCUGUGUCUGUGUGUAUCUGUGCACGUGUCUGAGUGUGUGUGUGUAUUUGUGUCUGUGUGCAUGUCUGAGUGUGUAUCUGUGUGUGUGUGUAUCUGUGCACGUGUCUGAGUGUGUAUCUGCAUAUGUCUGAGUGUCUGUGUGUGUGAGUGUGUGUAUAUGUGUGUGCGUGUCUGUGUCUGUGUGUAUCUGUGCACGUGUCUGAGUGUGUGUGUGUAUUUGUGUCUGUGUGCAUGUCUGAGUGUGUAUCUGUGUGUGUGUGUAUCUGUGCACGUGUCUGAGUGUGUA
rnacentral:lncRNA from 1 species